rnacentral:antisense_RNA from 1 species
GGGGUCUCACUAUGCUGCCCAGGCUGGUCUCGAGCUCCUGGCCUCAAGCAGUACUCCUACUUCAGCCUCCCAAGUUAGAGGCUCCUGAACUACAAUGGCAAUGAUCGAAGAAACUGUUGUUGAAAAGUCCACGCCAAAUUCUCGGUAUGUCACUGAAGACAAGGACAUUUUGGGUAGAACCUGGCUGCUAAUCCACUCUUGUCAGGAGGGAAGAUUUUUUCUCUUUCUGUAGUGAGCAACAAGGCCACUCGAUGAAGAAACUGAGGUUCAUGGAAGUUAAAUAACUUGCCCACAGGGCACAACUAGUAGGCAGCUAAGCUAGGACUUCAACUGAGGUCUGUAAGACUUAAAGCACAUGCUAUUCCUGCUCCUCAAUAGCUUUCCUGCUAAGCACCAAGAGACGCUAGGCUGCCAGGAACAUCACAGCAGAGACCACCGUCAAUCAAUGCAUCUCCACCGUCUUUUAGACUUUCUUUUGAAGAAAGAUUUAGCUGCUAAAAGAAAAGAUGAAUAUACAAAAAGGAUAAUACUACCAUAUUUCAUCAUAUUGUCUCGUUUUAAUACAAGAAGACUCAUCCAGCUUAAACAUUUGAUGUUUAAGAAGCUAACCAGCAAGCUGCCCUCUGGGAAUGCAUACCAUCAGGUAUGGAUCAGUGGCCCUGAGAUCAUGUUCAUAACUCAGCAGCUUUGUACAAGCUGUCAAGACUCAGAACAUGGUACCCCAAAGUAUGGCACCUUGGUGUGCUGAGUACU